AUUGAACGCUGGCGGCAGGCCUAACACAUGCAAGUCGAGCGGAUGAAGGGAGCUUGCUCCUGGAUUCAGCGGCGGACGGGUGAGUAAUGCCUAGGAAUCUGCCUGGUAGUGGGGGAUAACGUCCGGAAACGGGCGCUAAUACCGCAUACGUCCAGAGGGAGAAAGUGGGGGAUCUUCGGACCUCACGCUAUCAGAUGAGCCUAGGUCGGAUUAGCUAGUUGGUGGGGUAAAGGCCUACCAAGGCGACGAUCCGUAACUGGUCUGAGAGGAUGAUCAGUCACACUGGAACUGAGACACGGUCCAGACUCCUACGGGAGGCAGCAGUGGGGAAUAUUGGACAAUGGGCGAAAGCCUGAUCCAGCCAUGCCGCGUGUGUGAAGAAGGUCUUCGGAUUGUAAAGCACUUUAAGUUGGGAGGAAAGGCAGUAAGUUAAUACCUUGCUGUUUUGACGUUACCAACAGAAUAAGCACCGGCUAACUUCGUG
rnacentral:rRNA from 1 species